GAUGAACGCUGGCGGCAUGCCUAACACAUGCAAGUCGAUCGGUAAGGCUCUUCGGAGUACACGAGAGGCGGACGGCUGAGUAACGCGUAGGAACACACCCUGCAGUGAGGGAUAAGACACCGAAAGGUGUUCUAAUACCGCAUACGGUCUUCGGAUUAAAGCAUUUAUGCGCUGAAGGAGUGGCCUGCGUCAUAUUAGAUAGUUGGUGAGGUAAUGGCUCACCAAGUCGAUGAUGUGUAGCUGGUCUGAGAGGAUGAUCAGCCAGACUGGAACUGAGACACGGUCCAGACUCCUACGGGAGGCAGCAGUGGGGAAUAUUUCACAAUGAGCGAAAGCUUGAUGGAGCAAUGCCGCGUGCAGGAUGAAGGCCCUCGGGUUGUAAACUGCUUUUAUAAGAGAAGAUUAUGACGGUAACUUAUGAAUAAGGGACGGCUAACUACGUG
rnacentral:rRNA from 1 species